UGACUUACAGCUCAGAGCACUGAGAGCCUCAACAGAGAACUGAGCUGAUCUGAUUGAACAUGGACAGAUGCUUCAUACUGAUUCUCAUUGUGGGAACAGGUUUGGUGGCUGGAGACGACAUUGGGCCAGAUAAAGGUACAGAAAAAAACUCUCAAGAAGGAGGAACUGUCAAGCUGAGCUGUUCAUAUAGUACAAACAGUGAUUAUGUUGUGCUUUACUGGUACAGACAGAAUCCCAAUGGAAAAUUACGCAAAGGUGCCCGAUUACGUUAUGAUGAUAACACCUCUGAUGGUCGGUUUCAGUCAACUACAUCACGUACACCCACUGAACUCACUAUUACUGAUGUACGUCUGUCAGAUUCAGCUCACUAUUAUAUAAGAGUAGCAGCCCAAUGA